AUAUAAUGAAAAUCGAAUAGUAUGAGUGACUAGGUUUCAGUUACAUAACAUGAUAAAGAACAUUCAAUCUCCAGACAAUGAUAUUUGAAUUAGUUAUAUGCAAGAAGGUUAGUGAUACCACACAGGUUUGCUAGGUCUCUGUGAUAUUUUUGAAGGUUUGAACAUAAAUUAUUGAAAAAAAAAAUAGAGAUAAUCAUUGUGGUAGAAAGUCAUAUGAUUGUGUUCUAUCUGAUAUGAACUUAACAAAAAAAAAUUUAAGAACUAUAAGAAGCAAGCAUUUCGUCAAGCACCUGGUGGGCAAAAGCUGAAAGUACGCCUCCUCUGACAAAAAAAGAAAUCGACCUCUGUUACAAAAUGUUUGGUUUAUAAUUAUGAAAUCAGCACCAUAAUCCGGAGAUCUGUUUAUCCACCAAAUCGGUUCCCUCUGAAUCGCAAGAAACUAACAUCAUUUUCCCACCACCAUCGAUUUCUUUAAAAGCACAGGUACCAAUUUCAUAGUACCAAUUUUUCAAUUCGGUUUCUACAAAGAAAUCUUCAAUCGAUUUCAAGUGUCGUAAGACGAAGAUUUUCUACUUUUCUUUUUAUGUGGUUAGUCAAAGCUUCAAACGAACUCAAGAUAAAUCCUAGCAAGGUCUUGAAACAAUUUGAUCAAAGUGUCAUUUAAGCCAAAAUCGCAAUAAACCCAUCAUGGUAAGUACCCUUAUAAAAGAUAAACCAUUGUGCAGCUUCUAGCAAGCUAAAAGAUCAUCAACAUAGUAUCAAACUGUAAUUUAUUCAUAAAUUCAGUUCUUUUAAUGGACGCCCACAUAAUGCUCGACAAAAUGUCUAAAAGAGUUGUCUCUUUUGAAUUGCAUAAGAAAGGGCAUGAUUAGGGGGUAGGUCACACUGUUUAAGUUGAAGGUUGGUCAUAGUUGAAGUCAUAUGUCCAAUGUUUAACAACCAUUUUAUUGCCUCUGCUUCAUAAUACAAGUAUAACAUGGAAUUAAGUAAAAUCCAAGUCACAUAAUUUGUAGGUAAAACAACUAAUAAAGCAACCAAGUUACACUCUUCUACUAAUUUAUGCAAGAAAGUGGAUUUCUUAUCGGUUUAUGCAUUAAUUUACUAAUACGCAUGGUUGCAGAAAUCGGGAUUAAUUGGCGAUUAAUCGUGGAUUAAUCGCUUUGUGUUCUCCAACCGUCGAUAAUUAGGGCAUUAAUCGGGAAUAUAGGAUUAAUCGGGUUUGACGGGAUUAAUCGGCCUUGGCGGGAUUAAUCGGUCAACAAAAGUCAAAAAAUCGAAAAAAAGUCAAAAAAGUCAAAAAAAAAGCCAAAAAAAAGGUCAAAAAAAUUUUAAAAAAUUCAAAAAACCAACAUUCUUUUUUUACUCCAAAAUUUUCAAAUUUUCAAAAUUUCAAAUUUUAUACCAAAAUGUUCAUAUUUUCGUAUUUCCAAAUUUCCAAAUUACAAUUUUUCUAAUUUUCUAAUUUUGAAGCACUUGUUUUUCUUAAGAUAUAUUCAUAUUUAAUUAAUUUUAAUAGUUUAUUAAUAAUCUAUGGUCCCCGAUUAAUCCUUGAU